UACAGAGGGUGCAAGCGUUGUUCGGAAUUACUGGGCGUAAAGGGCGCGUAGGCGGCCGCCUAAGUCAGACGUGAAAUCCCUCGGCUCAACCGGGGAACUGCGUCUGAUACUGGGUGGCUUGAAUCCGGGAGAGGGAUGCGGAAUUCCAGGUGUAGCGGUGAAAUGCGUAGAUAUCUGGAGGAACACCGGUGGCGAAGGCGGCAUCCUGGACCGGCAUUGACGCUGACGGCGCGAAAGCCAGGGGAGCAAAGCGGGG
rnacentral:rRNA from 1 species